GUUUUCAGUCUAUAUAAUAUGUGUACUAUUAUGUUUAAUAUAAAAUCAUUGCGUGUCUUUCUUUAUUAAGAUAAUGAAAAGGAACGUAGAUACUAUUAUUUCUUGAACUUAUGAAGGUUAUGUUAGCUUGAUCUUUGUUAUGUUGUAUUAAUUAUAAGAAAUAGCUAUAAUAUUUUAUUGUGUGGGGUCCAAGUAUGCUUGAAGACACGGUUAUGUAACAUCCUGUAGAUAUAAGAAAAAAAGCUGAAUAAAAAGCCAAAUAAAAUCAUUUAAACAUAA